rnacentral:rRNA from 2 species
GUCCUUUUGAUUAUAAUUUAAGGUCUGACCUGCCCACUGAAAUUAUUUUAAAUGGCCGCAGUAAUUUGACUGUGCAAAGGUAGCAUAAUCAUUAGUUUUUUAAUUAAAAGCUUGUAUGAAGGGUUGGACGAGAUAAAAUCUGUCUCUAUUUAAUUUAUUAUAAAAUUUAAUUUUUAAGUUAAAAAGCUUAAAUUUUUUUAAAAGACGAGAAGACCCUAUAGAUCUUUAUAGUUUUGAUUUUGAAUUUAAUUAAUAAAUUUUUAGGGUUUAUGAUUUAAACUAUUUUAUUGGGGUAAUAGAAAGAUUAAAAUAAUUCUUUUUUUCUUUAAACAUUUAUUUAUGUUUUUAAUGAUCCAAUUUUAUUGAUUAUAAGAUUAAGUUACCUUAGGGAUAACAGCGUAAUUUUUUUAGAGAGUUCUUAUCGAUAAAAAAGUUUGCGACCUCGAUGUUGGAUUAAAGAUUAGUUUAGGUGU